UACGUAGGGGGCUAGCGUUGUCCGGAAUCAUUGGGCGUAAAGAGCGUGUAGGCGGCUUGGUAAGUCCGCUGUGAAAGUCCAGGGCUCAACCCUGGAAUGCCAGUGGAUACUGUCAAGCUAGAGUCCGGAAGAGGCGAGUGGAAUUCCUGGUGUAGCGGUGAAAUGCGCAGAUACCAGGAGGAACACCAAUGGCGAAGGCAGCUCGCUGGGACGGUACUGACGCUGAGACGCGAAAGCGUGGGGAGCAAACAGG
rnacentral:rRNA from 1 species